UUCACCAUUGCCGCACCACCUUCCCCACACCCAUCGCCGAACCACCAUCGCCUCCCGUCUACAGCCACCGCCGCCGUCCACAGCAGCAUCCCCCGUUGCCUCUCGCCUCAUGCCAUCGACACAGCCACUAGCCGCCGUCGCCUGACGCCCUCGCCCCUGAUGCCCUCGCCCCUGCUGCCCUCGCCGCCGGCAUUGCCUCGGCCUCCUGCUUCGCCGCCGGAAUAGCGCCUGCUCGCCGUCGACACAGGUAUUACUGGCUUAUGCUGAUACUCUAUUUGCUUCUUGCUUGGAACUGUAUUCUCUGGGCUGGGGCAUUCCUUAGUAAAUGGGGUGAAAUUGGCAUAUGAAGCAUGGACUGAAGGUAUAAUAACAGUUCGGAGAUGGACUGAAGAUUACAAGCAAUUUCUGUCAUCAAUGAUGGCUUCAAAUGACAAGGUCAAGGAUCCUUUCAUGAAGGAAAUGAGGGAGUACUACAAUGUGAUGUAGAAGAACGCAUGAUUUAGAAGAACACAUGACUGUAAAUUAAAGGCCAUGGUGGUUCACGUGCAGAUGAGUAUUUAAAGGAGCAUCAUUUUGAGAAUCUGACUAAGCAUCCACAGUUUCUAAAAAACACUAAAUUAGCUAUAAAGAAGCCCCUGGAGGUAUUCCAUAUAGUUGUUGAUGCUGGAAAUGGAGCCAGAGGGUUUUUCACUGGCAGAUGCAUUCAUGAUCCAACUCAAACUUUGGAAGAACUUUACUCACUAUUAUUGAUAACUGGUUUGUGCCAAGGGAUAUUGGGCCACCAGAAGCAUCUGUUUUGGCAUCUCCUCUGCUGGAUUUGCUGAGAUCAAGGGAGGUAUCUUAUCAUAAGGAAGCAUACGUUAGUAGAUCUGUGCUUUUUGCAGCAUCAUGCAUAUUGAUUUCUCUUCACCCCUCUUUCAUCACAUCUGCCCUAACUGAAGGAAAUGCUGACAUUUUAAAAGGGCUUGAACGGGUUCGCACAUGGGCCCUAAACGUAGCUGAAUCAGAUACAAAUAAGGAGUGCUACACGGUAAGUCAGAACUAAGUUUUAUACUGAAGGUUGAAGUGUCCAUUUGUAUUUCUGUUUACUAUGCUCCAUUAUGUUAUAAUCUGAGGCUCAUCAAGGUGAUGCACUUACAAUUUCGAAUUGCAGAUAUCUUUUAAAUUUGUUCUUCUCCUGAUGAUUAAAAAUUGUCCAAGUUAUUAUAUAAAUGUCUUAAACUAGAUAUUAGCCUUGUAAAACUCUCCAGCCCAUCCCAACCUAAAAGAGAAAAAGUAUGAAUCCUCUCCUUUGUACUAAUUAGAGCUUGCUGUUUCACUUUGAAGAAUGGGGACCUGUAGACAAAGCAGGUUUAGAGCCAUGGGAAUGUUUAUUACAUAUUCUGAUUUUUUUUCCAUCUAAAUAAAGUAUUACAGAAUUGGAAGAGACCAAAAUUUGUAAUUGCCUUUUAACAAGUCAAGGAAAAAAAAAAGAAAGAAAAUGUGUGUCUAUUAAUGUGUUUGUAUAUUGCCCAUAUGAAUAUUAUAAUUAUCAUUUGAACUUUUAAAUUAAAAGUAAUUAGCAAGAAUGCCUUUUUGGCUUCUAUAUUCUACUCCUGGCCUUUCUUUCACUAUUCUUUUCUGAUAUUCUUACUUCUAUUAUACUUUCUCAUCAUCUAAUUUAAUCAGUCACCAACCAUGGAAAUCGAUUGGGUUUUGGGAAAUAUGCAUACUUAAACUAGCUGCUGUAACUGCGGCUAAAAAGAUUUGAAGGCAACAAAAGUAGAGGCCAAUGUGGAUUUAACCAAGAGAUUUUGGCUAGAAGUAUUGAGACUUUGUGUGAGUUGUAAAAUUGUUGCCUGACUUGGCUCCACCUCACUAGGCUGGGCUCAUGUUAAAUUCCUUAAAAUUGUGAUGUGCACAACUUCACUAAACAGAUAUGAUGUUGUGGGUCUGUUACUUUUAAUAGAAGAAAACAGUGGGAUUAUGAUGUUGUGAAAAGCACAAAUCCAGAAUUCAAAAAAGCAACUGUACGGAUCAAUAUCUACAAACACCACAGACAGACGAUUCAGGUAAGCAAAAUGGCUAUGCUUUACAAGGACUUUAGCUGAUAAACGUGAGGUAAACUUUUGCAAACAUGGACCUUUGUGUCGGCAUGUCUGCCUCUGCUUCCUUCUAGCCACGCUUCCAUUUCCUUAUAAUCCAUGAUCAUUUCCCUGAUUUAGGCUGAGUUGCUUCAAAAGAAAUAUGAAGAGAAGUACAAGCAAGUUGCAGAAAUUGCUUCUAAAUUAACAAUUGAAGAGGCUGCUUUGUUGUUUCUGUAAUUGAUAUUGGUUAACUUUGGAAUGAUAUGAUAUGAUAUUGGUGUAGAUCAGAGUUAAUAUUUUAUUCUUUAAUUUGUUGAUCAAUUGCAUUAA